rnacentral:rRNA from 1 species
UGGCGAACGGGUGAGUAACACGUGGGUAAUCUGCCCUGUACUCUGGGAUAAGCCUGGGAAACUGGGUCUAAUACUGGAUAUGACCUUUCUCCUUAUGGGGUUUGGUGGAAAGUUUUUCGGUGUAGGAUGAGCCCGCGGCCUAUCAGCUUGUUGGUGGGGUGAUGGCCUACCAAGGCGACGACGGGUAGCCGGCCUGAGAGGGUGAUCGGCCACAUUGGGACUGAGAUACGGCCCAG